rnacentral:lncRNA from 1 species
AAGAAAUAAAUGUUUGAGGAAUAAAAGAGCUGCAAUGAAUAAUCGUUUUCAAUGAGGUUCGGAUUACCCUAUGUAUACGACUGAUGUAAGUUCUCCAUGAAAAGCGUGAUGCAACAUACUAGAGAAGAGCAGCUCUUUCAGAUAAGUACGAGUUAAGGCUACGAGCAAUGAUUAAAAGUCACUAUAACUUCCGAAAAUAUAUGUGAGAUAAGGUGUGCUUUGACUGGAUGAGGAAGCAUGUACGGUACAACGACCUUCCACCUGGAAACUACUCCAAGGAAAAACAGUAGCUCGACUCGAGUAACUUAGCUUAUGAACUUCGGAAGCUUGGUGCGGCACCUCCUUAUCAACUAGCCAUGGAGGUUAAUCCAUGCUAUGCAAUUUCCUCCAGUGAUUGCUUAGUCAACCUAUCCGUUGAUUUAUAUCACUCGUUUCUUUUCAAGUAUCAGUGAUUUGCCAACUGUAUGUGCUUUGCUCUUGAAUUGAAUAUUAAAGUAUUCUCAAUAUAAUUGCGCUAUGACUAUUAUAGACAAGAACAUAGCUACCUUUCUUUCUUCCUGAGUUUCUUUGUAGGUCUUUCAACCCAAU